rnacentral:piRNA from 1 species
UUAAGCAAAUUAAAUGGGUCUGAGCAAAUGA